rnacentral:rRNA from 1 species
CUGCUGCCUUCCGUAGGAGUCUGGUCCGUGUCUCAGUACCAGUGUGGGGGACCUUCCUCUCAGAACCCCUACGCAUCGUCGUCUUGGUGGUCCGUUACACCGCCAACUAACUAAUGCGACGCAUGCCCAUCCGCCACCGGAAUCAACCUUUGGCACCAACAGGAUGUCCCGGCGAUGCAUUAUGCCGUAUUAGACGGAAUUUCUCCCGAUUAUCCGGCUGUGGCAGGCAGGUUGCAUACGUGUUACUCA